rnacentral:lncRNA from 1 species
CUAUUGUCAAAUAAUUUUCAUAAGAUAUAAGUUAAGUUUAAAAUUGUUAGAAAUCCAAUUCAUCCCCCCUCUUGGGUUGCAUAGCUGGGCAACAGCAAGAGUUACUACUAUGGUCAUGGGUAUCUAUUCUUUGUGAUUAUCAUUUGGAUUUAGUUCUUAGAGACGUCUCUAUCAUUUAUAUGGUGAUGCAUCUGUGAACUUAAUUGAGCAAACAG